GCUCAGGGAGAACGUGGCGGCGAUGCUAACACAUUGCAAAGUCGAACGGGAAGUGGUUUUCCAGUGGCGAAACGGGUGAGUAAACGCGUAAGGAAACUGCCCUUGGGAGGGGAAAACAACUGGGAAACGGUUGCUAAUACCCCGUAGGCGAGGAGCAAAAGGAGAAUCCGCCCAGGAGGGGCUCGCGUCUCUGAUUAGCUAGUUGGUGAGGCAAUAGCUACCAAGGCGAUGAUCAGUAGCUGGUCCGAGAGGAUGAUCAGCCCAACUGGGACUGAGGACACGGCCCAGACUCUACGGGAGGCAGCAGUGGGGAAUUUUCCGCCAAGGGCGAAAGCCGACGGAAGCAAUGCCGCGUGGACCGGUGGAAAGCCUACGGGUCGUCACUUCUUUUCUCGGAGAAGAAAGAAAACAAUGGACGGUCUCUGGGAAUAAGCAUCGUAACUCGAUGCCCGCAAGCCGCCGGGUGGUACGACAGAGGAUGCAAGCGUACCGGAAUGAUUGGGCGUGUAAAGCGUUCUGUAGGUUGGCUUUUCAAGGUCCGCCGUUCAAAUCCCAGGGCGAAACCAUGGAAAAGGCGGUGGAGGAACUACCAAGCGGAGUACGGGAGGGGCAGAGGGAAAUUCCGGUUGGAGGGUGAAUGAAAUGCAUUGAGAUCGAAAAACAACCAACGGCGAAAAGAACUCUGCAUGGGCCGACACGACACUGAGAGACGAAAGCUAGGUGAGCAAAUGGAUUAGAGACCCAAGUAGUCCUAGCCGUAAACGAUGGAUACUAGGUUGCUGUGCGACUCGACCCGUCAGUGCUUAGCUACGCGUUCAGUAAUCCCGCCUGGGGAGUACGUUCGCAAAAUGAACUCAAGGAAUUGACGGGGGCCCGCACAAGCGGUGGAGCAUGUGUUUAAUUCGGUGCAAAGCGAAGAACCUUAACCAGGGCUUGACUGGCCGCGAAUCCUCUUGAAAAGAGAGGGGUGCCCUCGGGAAACGCGGACACUUGGUGCAUGGCUGUCGUCAGCUCGUGCCGUAAGUGUUGGGUUAAUUCUCCGCACGACGCAACCCUCGUGUUUAUGCCACUUAUGAGUUUUGACCUGCCAGACCGCCGGUGUUAGCCGGAGGAAGGAGAGGAUGAGGCCAAGUCAUCAUGCCCCUUAAUGCCCUGGUCGACACACGUGCUACAUGGGCGGGACAGUGUCGCGAUCUCUCGCGAGGGUGAGCUAACUCCAAAAACCGUCCUCAGUCGGAUUGCAGCUGUCAAGACUCCCUGCAAUGAGCAUGAACGCUAGUAUCGCCGUCAGCCAUACGGCGGUGAAUCCGUUCCCGGGCCUUGUACACACCGCCCGUCACACUUAGGAGCUGGCCAAGGUUUGGAAGUCAUUACCCUUAACCGUAGGAGGGGGAUGCCUAAGGCUAGGCUUGCGACUGGAUGAAGUCGUAACAAAGGUAGCCGUACUGGAAGGUUUGCGGCUG
rnacentral:rRNA from 1 species